AAUAGCACCUUAGUACAUACGAUUGAAGAGUCCCAAACCACCGCCACCCUCCUUUCCGGUUUUGUCUCCGCAAUUUGUUCCCCGAUCACCGCGUCUCGAAUAGUCGCCAUCGGUGUUGUGCUACACAUCCACCGCUGCCUGGUCUUUGCCUCUGCUCGUUGGUGUCGCAAACAGGCCAUCUCAGGUAUUCAUUGGCAUCCGAUUUGUUCUUCUUGGUUACGAUCCUCUAAAACACUCACAGGUUUUAAAAGUUUUUGCUUUUGUUUAUUAACGAGUUGACGCAACCCGCGCGUUGCAGCGGGAUGUUGAUUAUGAAUUUGUUUCACUGAAGUUUGUUAAUGGCGGAGCUGUUAAUGUCGGUAAAUACGGUGGGCCUGGACUCAUGUUAUUCUUGAUAAGCUUGUUUGGGUUUUAAAAUUUUCAUAUGUGGUACCAAAUAAUUGGGUUUCUGCAUGUUCAGAUUUGUGAUUUUAAUCGAUAUAUAUGGCGAAAAAGUAAGCAGCGAUCAAAAUCAAUUUAUUCUUCGAUCACCAUCUUUUAAGAGGAAACGAACGGACGAAUGAACAGAGCAAACACACAUAUUCGGUUGCGUAUGACCGUUGUGGCGGCAGAAGUAGUGGUGGCAGCCGCCCAUGCUGCCGCUGAAGUCGUUCGCUUGACGUCCAUUGUGCAUCCGUCGAGUAAAUCCGCAGAAGAAAUGGUUGCUACCAAGAUUCAAACAGCUUAUCGCAGGCACUUGGCGAGCAGGGCGUUGCGUGCUCUUAGAGGGCUUGGGCGGUUGAGAUCGGUGAUUCAAGGUCAAUCGGUCAAACGCCAAACAACGUCGGCGUUGAAAUGUAUGCAAACAUUGGCUCGUGUACAGUCUCAGAUUCGGUCAAGGCGUGUGCGUAGAAACUCUAAAGAAGAAACGGAAGCCAGUUUAUGAAGGAAACAGGGGGCUCAUACCCAAAGUACACGACUGCUGCUCAUAAGAAUCACGAGUGUGAAUACUACACAAAGUUUACAACAUAGGCUCCGCCGACACCAGUUUUUCUUUUUUGGUGGUUUGGAGUACUGGAUCGGGAUGGUGCGCUGGAAAGUCCUUUGCAAUCAGAUCCUAAGGCUGAAGAAGUGGCAGGGUAUGUGCAUUGGCUGCUAUAGUCCAUAUACAUAGUUGCGUGAUACUCACACAUUGCAUCGGUGAAAGCCUAAAGCUUCUGUGGUAAAUUUCAUUUGCUUCGUUUUUUAACUGCUAAUGUUUUGAAAGAUCCAUUGUAAGUCGAUGAUGAGAUUCAGUGUUUAAGAUCAGUUGUUUACUUGUUUAAGGGUAUGACUGUAUGAGAUGUAAUAAGU
rnacentral:lncRNA from 1 species